rnacentral:piRNA from 1 species
UGUACCACAUUUCUUCUAAAG